GAGGGUAUAGCUCAGGUGGCAGAGCACAUGCUUAGCAUGCACGAGGUCCUGUGCACAAGGUCCUAGGUUCAAUCCCCAGUACCUCCU
rnacentral:tRNA from 1 species